GUGCUCGCUUCAGCAGCACAUACACUAAAAUUGGAGCGAUACAGAGAUUAGCAUGGCCCCUGCAUGAGGAUGACACACGGAUUCGUGAAGCGUUCCAUAUAAGA